UACGGGGGGGGCAAGCGUUGUUCGGAAUUACUGGGCGUAAAGGGCGCGUAGGCGGCCUUGUCAGUCAGACGUGAAAUCCCCAGGCUUAACCUGGGAACUGCGUCUGAUACUACAAGGCUGGAGUUCGGGAGAGGAAUGUGGAAUUCCAGGUGUAGCGGUGAAAUGCGUAGAUAUCUGGAGGAACACCGGUGGCGAAGGCGGCAUUCUGGACCGAAACUGACGCUGAUGCGCGAAAGCCAGGGGAGCAAACGGG
rnacentral:rRNA from 1 species